CGACGCCGCGUGAGGGAGGAAGGCCUUCGGGUUGUAAACCUCUUUUGACGAGGAAGAACACAAUGACGGUACUCGUCGAAUAAGCCCCGGCUAACUCCGUGG
rnacentral:rRNA from 1 species